CAAUCACCGGACGAGACGGCGCGUUGUGAGGUAGGGCGCAAGAGUUGUCCCGAACUAUUGGGGGUAAGAGCUCCUAGGCUGGCCGUUACGGCUGCUGUGAAAACCCAGGGCGUAACCCUGGGCUGGCAGGGGAUACGGGCAGACUAGAGGCAGGGAUGGGAGAAUGGAAUUCCCGGUGUAGCGGUGAAAUGCGCAGAUAUCGGGAGGAACACCGGUGGCGAAGGCGGUUCUCUGGGCCUGACCUGACGCUGAGGAGCGAAAGCGUGGGGAGCGAACAGGAUUAGAUACCCGAGUAGUC
rnacentral:rRNA from 1 species